rnacentral:ncRNA from 2 species
CCUGCGCGCCUCGCUUCAGGUGCCCCAAGGGUGAAACAGGGAAGCCGGUGCGUGCCGCGACCAUUCGCGGCGCAAGGCCGGCGCUGCCCCCGCAACGGUAGACGAGUCGCGAAACCGCAAUAGCCACUGUGUUGCUCGGACACGGGAAGGCGCGGUUUCGGAAGCCGCCGCAUGGCGCUUCGCUCGUGAGCCCGGAGACCGGCCUGUGGCGAUCCAUGGCG